UACAGAGGGCGCGAGCGUUGUCCGGAAUCACUGGGCGUAAAGGGCGCGUAGGUGGCCACUAUAAGGCCGCGGUGAAAGUUCGGGGCUCAACCCUGAAUCUGCCGCGGCGACUGUAGGGCUAGGGCACCGUAGAGGCAGAUGGAAUUCCGGGUGUAGCGGUGAAAUGCGCAGAUAUCAGGAAGAACACCCGUGGCGAAGGCGGCUCUCUGGGACGGUACUGACGCUGAGACGCGAAAGCGUGGGGAGCGAACAGG
rnacentral:rRNA from 1 species